CACGUUGAGAACAACAACAGCCUGCGCCCAGGCCAGCGCCAACUUGUGCUUCUUGGAGCGCCUUCCGCGGCCACUGGCUCCUCCGCCCGCGGCUCCGGGACGCGGCUGCACCCUCAGCAGUGUGCCCUGGACAGCGUCCGAGCCCGCUGCGCUGCGCAGAGGCGGCCUGCGCCUAGGACGGGCUCAGCGGAGCGGCACAGAGCCAACCAGGAGCCUGCUGCUGCUGCUUCGUGCCCUGUGUGCUGGAAUGCUGCCUUCAGGCUCAGGCAGAAACUUCAGUAAGUUCUGGACGGUCACCUGACUGAUGUCUAUUUGUCCUGUCAGUCUGAGGUAAGAUAGACAAAGCAGCAUGAGAAGAGUCCCUCUUGUGUCUAGUUUGUCUUUCUUGCUAAGAGUCAGGAAACUUCAAUACAAUUGAUAAACCCAAAAUUACCCACAGAGAUGCUGUUUUUUCCUAAGGCAUCUAAACAUCAAAUGAACUGUAAUUAGGCAAGAAUGCUUAGAACAUUGAGUUGUUACCGUAUUAGCCCUUCUCUAAUCCCUAACAUCUAAGAAUGCAUUCCAUAAAAACAUUAUUUCAUUCACAAAAGGAAAAUUUAAGAUUUUAAAAAGUGAGCUAGUGCAUAUAUUUUUACUAAACUUUUAAACUUUGCUUGCACUUUAAUAAAGUGAAAACUUAAGAGUUCUUUGGUUGAAUGGUGUUUUGCUGGGGCAAACGUGAAGGUGAAGGAAUGUUUAGCUGAAGCAGACACAGGAAAAGGAUGUUCUGCUCAACCAAGCACAUGAAAGGACACAUGAUGAGGGAUUCUUUGCUAACAACACACAUGUAUUGGUCCGAGGUACACUGUAUAGUUGAGCUGCAUUUGUUGGGACUCCAUAGAGAAACACAACAGAAAAACAUCUGGUGGUGUGCUGAGGUUUCUUGCCAUUUCUGCAAACUCGGGCUCAUGCGCAGUGAUGUCAGCUGAGACAGACAGCUGAGGCAAGACCUGUGGAUGAGAUGUGAUGUUUGGAGGGUAUAAAUAGAAUAUAAAUAGGACUUGAUGAACAGUGGCAGGGGAUGACUUGAUCUUCACUUCCCUGAGAGAGGCACAGCCAAGAACUUCCUGGCCAUUUCUCCCUGGUCCUUCCUGCUGACUCCAGCCAAAGCUGAGGCCUGGCUGUGUCUGCUAGGUAGUGCAAAUGCUUCUGAUUCCUGUUUGCUAAUCCCGGCUCUACCAAGCUAGACGGCUGGUGUAUCCGUGAGGUGUUUUCGAGUGGAUGGAGCUGCAACCUGUGAACCACACUGCCGAUAUCCAGUUAACACAGAUGGGAGUUGCUGCAAAGAACCUUUCUAAACAGGUCCACUUCCCGUGUAUCCUUUCUUUUCCACUAUCUCUGCUGGGUGGUGGGCUACAUGGGAUGUUAAAGUGUUUAAGAACCAUCAUUAAAAAUAGGUGUUUG
rnacentral:lncRNA from 1 species